GCAAAAACCAAUGCUGCACUCUUUCCAGACGUUUGAUACGUUUGUCAAAGCAAGGCCACCAAAUGAAGGAACAAUAUUCAAGGAUUGGUCUGACGAGAGAAGAAAUCUGAAUGUGUGUUUGUCUCGGGGAAAUAUUUGGCCGUUCUGUGAAUAAGUCCUAAUGAACCGAGUCCACGAGAAAUGAGAACUGCGAUUACGACUACGACUAUGACUGCAACGACCCCUGAGGCAUUUCGAGUCGAAGCAUUCUGUGUCCGAGACACGUCGUUUCAAUUCAUGGCGUUUCGAACACCUACGAGCCUAUCUCCACCCACGACGAGGUCGGCGAACCCGAGCUCAAGGUCAUCCAAGGUUAAAUAAACCCUGUAAACGCCGAGAUUACUAACGUCCCCGAGGAUUACUCGGACAAAAUAGACGUUGUAAAGUAUUCUUGUAAUUUUCUUUUUCAACUGUGUGCCGAAGAAAAGGAAUUCGUAGGUUGAAUCGUCCUAACGACGUUAUGAUAUUUUUCAUUAUUUUACAAUACUGUAUUCAUAUAAAAUAAGUGUCCAAAUUAGUCAUAGUACUGCGAGAUGUUUAUUUGGCAAUACUUAAAUAGGCAAUAUUUAAAUUACAUUCUAUCAGUUGUCGCAAUAUGCGCAAUCUAUUAUAAUAUUCAUUCGCAUUGCAAAUGACUCUAUUUAUACCGUUAUUACGAGCAUUACGAGAGUCCGGUGAGAUUCCUGUAUAAAAAGAUACUUGUUGUCUAGAAGCCGGACGAGAUAUCCGUAGUUUAAAAAGAUCACAGAUGUCAGGGCCAUUGAAUGUUCUGUGAGCAAAUAACAAAUCAUGCAAUAAUCGUAUAUGUUCGAGAGACGUAA